rnacentral:rRNA from 1 species
GAACGAACGCUGGCGGCAGGCUUAACACAUGCAAGUCGAGCGCCCCGCAAGGGAGCGGGCAGACGGGUGAGUAACGCGUGGGAACGUACCCUUUACUACGGAAUAACGCAGGGAAACUUGUGCUAAUACCGUAUGUGCCCUUUGGGGGAAAGAUUUAUCGGUAAAGGAUCGGCCCGCGUUGGAUUAGCUAGUUGGUGGGGUAAAGGCCUACCAAGGCGACGAUUCAUAGCUGGUCUGAGAGGAUGAUCAGCCACAUUGGGACUGAGACACGGCCCAAACUCCUACGGGAGGCAGCAGUGGG